rnacentral:lncRNA from 1 species
AAAAGGAUAAUUAGUACAGACUAUGCGGUAUGCAAAGUAGAACAAAAAAGCACAAAUGGUACUUUUUAAUUUCUAGGACAAUCCCUAGUUUCUUGAUUUAGCAAGAAACAAAAUUCCAUCACACUAUUAACCGCCAAUGCUGAAUAUGUGGCCGCCAAAAGUUGUUGUGCUCAAAUGCUUUAGAUAAAACAAUAAAUGGGGGAAUAUAAUUUAUAUUUUGAUUAUAUUUCAAUCAAUUGUGAUGAUACAAGUGCUAUAAUGUUGUCUAAGAAUCCCAUAUAACAUUCUAGAACAAAGCACAAUGAGAUUCGAUAUCAUUUUCUAAGAGAUCACAUCCAAAAAAGGAAUAUUGAACUUAUAUAUAUGCACACCGAUAAGCAAUAGGCAGAUAUUUUUAUAAAAUCACUUGAUAAGAAAGAUUUUAUUUCAUGAGACGUGAACUUAAUAUGUCUCAACCAAUGUGAAUAUAUUUUGAUUUCUUAAUUAAAUUCAUAAUACUUGAGUUAGUAGGAAUUGAGAAAGAAUAGUUUAAAUCAAAAUUUAUUCUAUAUGAAUAAAUUUAAUUGAUCUAAUAUAAGUUUAUUGAUCGACAAAAAUGUGCAUAGAAGUCUCAAAUUUUGAGAUACAUGAAAUUGAUUCAUAGAAUUAUAUUUUAUAGUUGUUUUAUGUAAGUGUGACUUGUGUGAAGAAAAAAAAUGAGCAGUAAGAUCAAACUUAAGUCAAAAUUCCUUACUGUCAAAUUUUGCAGAUAUAGUAGGAACUUCAUUUGAUCGAACUUGAAGUUUGGUUGAUCGAAGUUGCUAAAUUAAAAGGUCAUGUAUACAUUAAAAAGAACAUUAAUUGAGUCCUAGAAAACCUAUUUCUCUUAAAUACUAAUAUCUUAUAAACACUUAUCUAUUACUCUCUCUCUUUACCUCACUAAAGAAAACACAACCCAUACAAUUCUCUCAAAAUGUUUCAUCAAAUUAGUGUUCUUCAACUUCCAAUUUUCCUGAUUCACUCAACCUCUUGGAAGUUCGAUCGACAAAUCGCAAAAAUAUUGUUGACCGAAUUCACAACUUUGAUCUACUGAAGUAGCAGAAACUACGGGAUAAGAGGGAGGGAUAGAGUUUCAAAUGUUUUCAAGCUUCAAUUUCUUACCCUUUUUAGCUUCUAUCAGAUUCCUCGAGGACAUCUAUCUCUUUUAUCUCAUUAUAAAUAAACCCUAUACCUAUUCCUUAUCAUCAUAUCAAAAUCUCUCAAACCCUAGAUCAAAAGUCUAUGAUUUUUCAGACCAUGAUGCAUCCGAGAACCAAGCACGCAUCGAACGAUCCAAGAGGUGAGAAUACCAAUCCUAAACCUCAAAUGGAGUUCAAACCACAACUAUUCAAGAACAGGAAAAUCCAAAAGACAUGGCUAUCCGAGUUCAAAGAAAGGCCAAUCAUCACGGGAAGGAAAUUUAAGAAAAAUUUCCCACUCAAGUACUACAAGAAAAUGUUGGUGCCAUUGGAACCUCUUGGAUGGAAUGGAUGGCAUCCUCUUCCAACGGACAUGUACUCAAACUUGGUAAGGGUUUUCUACUGCAACUGAGAAGUAGGAAACCUAGAUAAUAUUGUGUACACAAUUGACUCAAAUGUUAGAGGGAAAUAUAUAGUCCUCAAUCCCACGAUCUUAUCUAAGAUCACAGGGAUUGUUAAUGCUAGGGACUACAUCUUUUUCAACAAGUCAAGCCAACUUGAUCAAUAUGUGAGUUAAAAACAUAUGAAUAAAAUGAUCUCCAUAAAUGGAAUAUUAAAAGCCACACAAACCAAGGAUAUGAUAAAGGAAUUCAGACUAUUCCAUACAUCACUUACAAUAUAAUUUCUAAGAAGAGACAUUAUAAUCAAGUGACAACUACGAUAGAAGAGCCUCAUAAUCUAAACUAUAUAAUUCUAAAUGAGAUUGCUAAUAUGAGAAACCAUAGUAGUCGAGCCCUACAUUUUGGUGCUCUCUUGACUAAAAUUUUCAAACACUUUAGAGUCAAGUUUAACAACCAAAUCAAUCAAUAUAUAGGUGGACGUUUUCCUAAACAAAUGAUAAAAAGAGAGACAAGUGUGUUCUCCUCCGAUAAGGAAGAAGAAGAAAGAAGUCACAGUGAUAUGGAGGUUGCAGGAAACUUUGAGGAUCUUCCCCCACAAACCGAGGAAACUUAUGAGGAACUAAGCACUCAAGUGUUCCAACUCCAAAUACAAGAAAAGGAAACGAUGCAGUGGGAGAAUCUUAUGCAAGAAAGGCUUUCAUCGCAAUACGUGCAUUCGACAUGAUUCUUGGAGUACUUUGGAAAGCUCAAUGCCAUAAUGAAACGCGUGGAGCAGCGCCAAGAGAAGUAAGUAGAAUAUUUUGAGCAAAUAGAGUAACGCCAAGAGAAGAAGGAAAGAUACAUUGAGAGGCUCGGUGACUUGUACGAGAACUUGUAUGAGCAGCAAAUCAACUUCAAUAAGCAAUACAACGAUAGGAUGACCAACAUGGAAACUCAGCUUUAGUAUCUCUAGUUCACAACUCAUCCUCCAGCUGAUUUUCCUCUUCCUCCUCCUCCUACACCAUUCGAUGCCCCUAGCUCUUCAUACCGGCCUUCUUGACCUGGACCUAUUGAUGAUUCCCUGAAGGGGGAGAAGAUUUUAGUUUUUUGAUUUAAUUUUUUUAAACAAAUUUCUGAUCAUUUAAAAUUUUUGUUUUAAAAGAAUGUGGUUUGUUUUUUAAUCUAUCUUAGUGUUUGAUAUGCUCCUUUUACAUGCCAUGUUGCUGUGAGUGUGGAUACAUAUGCCAUGUUGCCAUUCUUCUUAAUAUGCUUACUAAGUAUCCCUUGAUUCUAUGUUUAUAUAAUAAGCUUAAAAUAUUAAAACAUAAGAACAAGUUAAACAAGCACAAAGAUAGGGGAUGUUUGAAUAAAGGGGAGCAUGUAAAUUUUAAAACAAGAAUAUGAUUUUCAAAAAUAGUUGUGUCAUCAUAAAAAAUGGGGAGCUUGUUGAAAUAAAGGUUUAUUUGAGUUUUGAUGAUUACAAAUGUUUAACAAUAAGUCAAGUCUAAAAAUCACAUUAAACAACUUAGAAAUACAAGGACCAAAAAUAGUGGUCUUGAAAACAAUCCUACAUAUGAAUAAAAAAAGAUGUUAAGCUCUUUACAAGUCACGUUAAAUAUCAUUGUGCAUAUAAAAGAGGUAGAAAAGAUAAACCAACUCUUAAACUCAAAAUGGAUAGUUAACAAACUUAACUGAUAAAAAGACAAAACACAAAUUGCUACUGUCACAAGUUCGGACCGAACUUGUAUACCGAAGGUUAAAUGAAGCACAAUUGAACUUCAUCAAGUCAUCUAUUAACAGAUAUGAUCACUAGAAAAUCGUUAAACUACGACCGAAGUUCACAUUCAGUCAACCGAAGGCAAAAGAUGCACAACCAAUGUUGAAAUAGAGAACAAGGAUACUCACUGGGAUAACAGUUAAGACACGACUAUAGUUUACAUUCGGUCGACCGAAGUGUCGUCCAAAGUAUGUAAAGCCAAAAUAGAGCAACAUAAGUGAUCUCUAUAAUUACAGAAUAAUGUCGAUGAAAAUAAAAAAGCCCUCGAUCAAAGUUUUAAAUUCAUCAGCCAACAGAGUAUGCAAGUCACUGAAAUUUUAGUUCAAACUCGAUCAAAGUUCAAGUCAGUCGACUAAAGUUUUUGAUCGAAAUUUGAAAAGUUGAUCCUACAAUCCAAAUCAACAUCCAACAACUAAGACUCAAUUAGAACGGCUAGAUUAAAAGCAUUUUUGCUGCAAUAACUAUAAUCGACUUUUGACGAGGGGGGGGGGGAGGAGUGGGUGGGUUGGAGAGGGAGGGAAGGGAAAGAAGUGAAUAAGAUAUAAAGGAGGGGGAAGGAGUCGGGGGGGGGGUGGGGAGAGAAUUACUAAGGGAGGGAGAGGGGUUAUAAAUACAAUUUUGGGUUUGUUUGAAAGGUAUUGAAGUUUUUAACUUUCUACAAUCACUUGUAUUCAAUAUUCCUAAACAAACCUAUUUUAUCUCUUCAUAAUUUGCUUUGUAGUUAACAGUAAAUAUGAUCAAACCGCAUUAAUUUCUUUAAAUUCUUUCUUAUUAUUCUAUUUCUCUUUUCGAUUUUUCUGUAUCUAAAAUCAACAUGAUGACCAUGUUGUUUACUUGUCUAUUAACAAAUUUCUAUAAGAUGUCUUUGAAUGUACAAAAGAUCGUGAGUCACCAAUAGCCAACAGGUCAAAACCUAAACUUUCCAAUCUCAUUAAUAAAUAAAUAAGCAUGUUCUUAUAUAUUCGACACAACUUGUUUGCAGUGCAAUUCCAGAAUCUUGGGGUCUAUUUUGAACCCAUUUUGAUAAUUUAAAUUGUUCAUGUAAUAGAUUUUAUCGUAAAAAUUAAUAUUAUAAAAAAUUAUAUUAAUCAGAUACACAUUAAUAUACAUUUAGUACUAUUUUAUAACUUAAUAAAGUCAAAAAAUUCAAUUAUAAAGUCUAAUCUUUUAUAUUGUAAACCUCAUGAGCAGUUUUAAUAAAUUAAAAAAUGUCAAUACAUCACUACUGCCAUUGUCAACACAUUGUUGUUGGAGAGAUAAAUUUAAUUGUUUAAAAAUUAAAUUUCAUUAAUACCAAGUAUCUCCAUCUGACCACCACCUCCGUCCUCGCCAAUGUUUCUACUAGACAAAUCAACUACAUUUUAAAAAUUCAUUCAAAAAAAUUUUUGCUCAAAAAGUCAUCAUCGGCAACAGGCCAAAAAGUGGCAUCCGGGCACUUUUUGGUAGCCCAAGUUAGUGGUGACGGUGGAAAAUAGUAAAAAAUUAAAAGAAGCGUAGAAAGUAAUAGGAAUAUUUUUUUUUAUUUUAUUAAAAAAGAAUUUUAACUUUAAGAUUUGGUGACAAACGAAUUGUAGCAAGGACUAUGAACCAUCACUUAUGGCUAGAGCUGCUUUUUCAAAAUUGACGAACUCUACUUUCACUUUUUUUCAUGGAUAACAAGUGCGAAUCCAAGUCCACUCAAGCUGGGCUGUAAACAAAUCCAUAGUGACUCGAGACCAAGCCCCACAGUUCCCAAAUCAAAACACUUGGGAUAUUUGAUAACGUUUUUAUUUUUUUUAUUUUUUUUAUUUGUUUAAUUUUUAUUUUAUUUUGUUUAAUUUUUUGUAAAAUAGAAAUUAAAAAUAUUUUUGUGUUCACCUAUUUUUAAACUAUUUAAAAACAAAAUAUGUUUGUGUUAACUUUUUUUAAAACUAUGAAAAAAAAUGUAGAGGGCGUGGUGUGGAGGAAGUGGGUCGGUUGGAGGUGAUGGUGGAGGUGGAGGGGUCUGGUGUUGGAGGUGGAAGGACGGUUGCGUGGUGAUUGGUGGUGGUGGUGGUGGUGGUGGUGGUGGUGGUGGUGGUGGUGGUGGUGGUGGUGGUGGUGGUGGUGGUGGUGGUGGUGGUGGUGGUGGUGGUGGUGGUGGUGGUGGUGGUGGUGGUGGUGGUGGUGGUGGUGGUGGUGGUGGUGGUGGUGGUGGUGGUGGUGGUGGUGGUGGUGGUGGUGGUGGUGGUGGUGGUGGUGGUGGUGGUGGUGGUGGUGGUGGUGGUGGUGGUGGUGGUGGUGGUGGUGGUGGUGGUGGUGGUGGUGGUGGUGGUGGUGGUGGUGGUGGUGGUGGUGGUGGUGGUGGUGGUGGUGGUGGUGGUGGUGGUGGUGGUGGUGGUGGUGGUGGUGGUGGUGGUGGUGGUGGUGGUGGUGGUGGUGGUGGUGGUGGUGGUGGUGGUGGUGUGGUGGAAAAAAUUUAGAUAAAAAAAUUUUGAAUGAAAAAGUUUUAUAAACAAAACAAAAAUAACUUUUUCUUGUUUUUACUAUUUUCAAAAAUAGUGGAAGUUGUUUAGCCUUAUUUUUUCAUUUAUUUUUUUCAACACAAACAAGAUUUUGUUUACGUUUAUUUUCAAAAACAGAAAUUAAACAAAAAAAUAAAAAUUAAACAGUUAACAAACAAGCCCUUAGCUUUGAAAUAUGUUAAAUGAAUUAUUUUUUUCCAUGCUAAAUAGUUUGUGGUUUUGUGGAGGUUGUUGGUGCAUGAGUACGGGUACUUUUUUUGAAGUUGGAAUUUGGACUGCACCAGUUCAAGUUUUUUAAACUUUUAGUCCCUUUGUAUAUUCCAUCUUUAAAAUUUUAGAACUCAGUAACUUUUAACCCAUUAGUAUCCACUAGAAAUAUCAUUUCACUACAAGAAAAGAAAAAGAUUUUUUGCCUCAAGGACGUGCCGCCACAAAUAAUCACCUUUCCGUUGUAAAAAAUUUUUGCCCCGGAGGACUAGGUGGCAAUUGGUGGGUUUGCAAGAGCUUUUUGCGGUGGCAUCAGACCAUGGCAAAUACUGUAGCCACACUUUACAAUCAAUAAUCCUAAGUCAAAAAAUGAGUCACGAUCGACCACUUGAAUGAUAUUGACAGCAUCCUUCAAACCUAAUGGGAAAAUUGUUACUCGAAAACAUAAACCCCUCAUGGCUUAAAAAUUUUCACCAUGGUCUAGUCAAAUCUAUAGUACCAUUAAAAAUGAUUCUGUCAAAUUGAAAUGUUAAAGGAUGCACACAAAUCAUAAUAUUAAGUCUGCCUAGGCGUCAAAAUUGUGGGAAAAACAAAUUUUCACUUGGCUGGUAGUUCAGUAGCUAUUUGGUGAGUUAAAAAGAGGAUAUUCUUAUUCAAGGGAAGAAUAAUGACGGGGGGACAUCCUUUCUCUUCCAGAUCAGAAGAAUAUACAACACAUCUGCAUCUACAUUAUCAAUCUCCUCUCUCUCCCAACUUUAAAAUCUUUCAGAUAUUUCUAAGUAACAUCCCUAAUAAACUUGGCAUUGGUCCAAAGUCGUGCAGCAUUAAAGCCUAUCAUGUCCCUCUCUUCCAUCUUUAAAAUCUUUCAGAUAUUUCAAGAAAACAUCCCUAAUAAACUUGAUAUUGAUCCAAAGUCGUGCAGCAUUAAAGCCUAUCAUGUCCCUCUCUCCCAUCUUCACAAUCUUCCAAAUAUUUCAAGAACAUAUCCCUAAUAAACUUGAUAUGAUCCAAAGUCGUGAAACACCAAAGUCUAUCAUGUCCAUCUCUUCCAUCUUUAAAAUCUUCCAAAUAUUUCAAGAAAACAUCCCUAAUAAUCUUGACAAUGAUCCAAAGUCGUGUAGCAUUCAUACCCCUCUCCCAUCUUUAAAAUCUUCCAAAUAUUUCAAGAAAACAUCCCUAAUAAAUUUGAUAGUGAUCCAAAGUCGUGCAACACUAAAGUCUAUUAUGUCUCUCUCUUCCAUCUCUAAAAUCUUCCAGAUAUUUCGAGGAAACAUCCCCAUAAUCUUGGCAAUGAUCCAAAGUCGUGUAGCAUUCAUACCCCUCUCCCAUCUUUAAAAUAUUUCAAAUAUUUCAAGGAAACAUCCCUAAUAUAGUUGGUAGUGAUCCAAAGUCACGUAGCAUCAAAGCCUAUCAUGUCCCUCUCUCCCAUCUUUAAAAUCUUCAAGACAUUUCAAGGAAAUAUCUCUAAUAAACUUGGCAAUGAUCCAAAGUCGUGUAGCAUUAAAGCCUAUCAUGUCCCUCUCUCCCAUCUUUAAAAUCUUCAAGAUAUUUCAAGGAAACAUCCUUAAUAAACUCGGGAAUGAUCCAAAGUCGUGCAGCAUUAAAGUUUACCAUGUCCCUCUAUUCCAUCUUUAAAAUCUUCCAAAUAUUUCAAGAAAACAUCCCUAAUAUAGUUGGUAGUGAUCCAAAGUCAUGUAGCAUUAAAGCCUAUCCGUCCCUCUCUCCCAUCUUUAAAAUCUUCCAAAUACUUCAAGAAAACAUCCCUAAUAAUCUUGACAAUGAUCCAAAGUCGUGUAGCAUUAAAGCCUAUCAUGUCCCUCUCUCCCAUCUUUAAAAUAUUCAAUAUAUUUCAAGGAAAUAUCUCUAAUAAACUUGGCAAUGAUCCAAAGUUGUGUAGCAUUAAAGUGUAUCAUGUCCCUCUAUUCCAUCUUUAAAAUCUUCAAGAUAUUUCAAGAAAACAUCCCUAGUAUACUUGGCAGUGAUCCAAAGUCGUUUAGCAUUAAAGCCUGUUGAAAUAAAAGUUUAUUUUAUUUUGAUGAUUAAGCUAAGUCAAGUUUAAACACCGAUGAAAAUCGUAUUAAGGAAGAAAAAAUAAACAAACACGUGCUAAACUUAUAUUAGUCACAAACAAAUUUAUUUUAAGAAGAAAAGAACUACAAAGAUUGAUAAAACAACUUAGAAUUCCAAUAACUGAAGUCAACUGGUUUACAUUCGUAAAAGAAACAACAGUGGUAUUGAAAGUAAAGCUAAUCAUGUUUAAAGUGAGAAUUGAAACUCUCUACAAAUCAUAUUCAAUGCUAUCAUUCACGCAAAAAUGGUAGAAAAGCUAAAUAAAAGAUUGAACUCAAAUUGAAUAGUUAACCGCCCAAAUUGAUAAAAAGACAAAGCAUAAACUGCUAUUGUCACAAGUUCAAUCUACCGAAUUAAUUGACCAAAGCUUAAGAGUCUCAACCAAAGUCUGAAGGUUCAAAAUAGUUGCCCAAGUUGCUCACUCAAAAUAUAGUUCAGACAACACCGAAGUUCACAUUAGGUCGACCAAAGUUAAAGAAGGUACAACCAGAAAGUGAAAUAGAGGACAUGCGUGCUCACUAGAAAAACAGGUUUACUACGACCAAAUUUUAUAUUCGGUCGAUCGAAGUUAAGAAAAUCACAGCUGAAUUUAAAACAGAGCAACUAAGUGCUCUCUAGAAUUGAAGAACAACGUCUAUCAAACUUGACAUUCGGUUGACUGAAAGGAAAAAGCCCUCGACUGAAGUUAUAAAUCACUUAGUAGACAGAAUGAACAAGCCAUUAGAAUUUCAUUACAACCACGAUCGAAGUUCAAGGUCGGUUGGCCGAAGGUGUCGAUUGAAGUUCGAAAAGUUGAUCCUGACUGUCCAAAUAAAGAUUUAACGGCUGAGAUUCAAUCAGAAUGACUAGAUCAGAAGUAUCAAAUUCUGUAACGACUCUAAUCUACUUUUGGCUUAUAAAUACAAUUUUGGGGGUUGUUGGUAAUAUAUUGAAGUGCCAUAUAUUUUUAAAAUCACUUGUAUUCAAUACUUCAAUCCCUUUAUCAUUUACUUAUGAGUUUUGAUUUGUGAGAGUUAGAUCACUCUAGACAAAAGAAAGUUUCAUUAUAAUUAUCCUUGUUCUAGAAUUGGUUAGAUAAGAGUUACUUUAAUUGGAAAAAUCAAUAUAAGUUCUAGUGUUUGUAAAGGUUGUGAAGAUCAAUAUAGUUCCCAAGAGAUGGAGUCUCUUGAACACUAGAAGAGUUCUAGUGUUUGUAAAGGUUGUGAAGUACCCGCAAACUUGAAGAUAGUAAAUUUUCAAGGAGAAUCUUGAAGAGUAGACGUAAAUCGAGAUUUGUCAGACCACUAUAAAUCUACGUUCCAAUCGAGUUUUAAAAAACAAUUAUAACUAAACAACGUAUAUUGCAAAUAACUAAACAUCUUCUAUUGUAGAGCACAACUUAUGUAAAACCUUGAUAAUUCAAACAUAAAAAUAAGCUUUUUAAGAUGUUCUUGACCCACAAAUAAAAAGCAAAAUUUGUGACGAGCUUUCUAAAACAUGAAAAAGCGAAAACUGCAACCACCAAAAUUGUGGGCAAUACUCCGAGGAUUCUUAGGGCAAGUAUUUGACGCUGACCUGGAACACAUGUCUCGCUCUUUGAUUAAAGCAUAUGCUCAAAAUCACAUUUUUAAAGAUAAAAUCACGCUUAUUUUCAUUAUUUUACGAAUAAAAAGUUUUAAUACAUCAUUACUGCACUGUCAACACAAUUGUGAUUGGAGAGGGAAAUUUCAUUGUUUUCACCAAGUCCAAGUCUACUACUGUUGAGUUGUAAACAAAUCCAUAGUAUCAAGACCAAACCCCCCCAGUUCCCAAAUCAAAACACUUGGCCUUGAAAUAUGUUAAAUCAACAAAUUUUUUUCCAUGCAAAGUAAGUAGUGCGUUUUGUGGAGGUGCUGGUGAGAUGAGUUAAGGGUAUUUUUUUUAACGACCUAGUUCCUUUAAAGUUGGAAUUUGGAUUGCUCCAGUGCAAUUCAAAUUUUUUGAGUUCACUUUGGGCUAAGUUUGAUCAUUCAAAAUGUUUAUAUUGUAAACUCUAAUGUCAAGAUCAGUAUUACAAAAGAUGCGUUGAUCGAAACACAAUCUAGAAUCCGUUUAUUACUGUCUCAUAUUCGAAACUUCUGAAGUGUCAUCAAUUUUUAAUUUGGGGUUUAAAUCCAUUGUUAAUGGACAGUGAGAUUAAUUCUUUAAAUUAGUGGGUCCUGAGACAGAUACCGAAUUAUUAAAAAUAGUAUAUUUGUGGAAAAUAUUAUACAAUUAAUUAUUAGGAACGAAAGAGAUUAGGAGCUUUUAGUCCCUGCUCUUUUACUCCUACUAUCCAUGCCUUCAAAACAAAUGAAUGUGUGUAUGUUUUUAUCACUUCAAUCCAUUCCUAACAACCCCAAGGGUUAAUUUUAAAAGUUCCAAAUUGGAUAGAGACGUUGCAUCAUUAAUUGCACUAAAAAGAACCGUUCUGAUUUGAUUUCAGUCAUUGGAUCUGAGAUUUUGAUAUGCUAGAGUGAAAUUUAAAAGUCGGUCGUCGUACUUUCUAAAACUUUGGUUGACCGAACUUUAACUUCGGUCAUGUUUGAACUGAAUCUCUAAGUGGCUAAGUUAAUUGCUCUAUUUUACUUUCCUGAACUUCGAUCGUCCCUAAUUUGGACUUUAGACUUCGGUCAACUAAAUUUUAAGUUCGGUCGUUUUUGUACUGCAUUUUCAGGGGUUUGCUUAGAUACUCUGCUUAGAUACUCUGCUUCAUCUUUUGAAUUUGGCUUCUACCUUAAAGAUUCGGCUGUGCUCUGAACUUUGGUCGUGUACUUCUGAAUGUUCGGUCGACCAUUAAGUUGGAUUGUCAUUAGCUUGUUUUUCCAGAGAGCUUUUACUUACAUUAUUAAUUGAGAGUUCCUAGCAUUCGGCUGUGCUUUGGGACUCAGUUCUUGAACUUUGGUCGAUCCUUCUUGGACUUCGGUCGCCUCUGACUGAGUUUCUGAGAGCAUACUCUGUUCUUAACAAUAAUCUUUGUUUUGCUUGUGUUAGCAUUCGACGUUCAAACUCUUUUAGAUCUACCCAAGUCUAUUUCUAAGACCACCCUUUAUUUUUCUUUUUAUCGAUGAUUUUCAAACGCAACUUAGUUUAAUCCUUUGUAAUCAUCAAAAUUAAUUACUUUAUUUAAUAAAUAUAAUUUAUUUGUAAAAGAAAAGUGUAAUUUUUUUGAUGGUGUCAAUUGACCCCACGACCAUUGUGACAUAUACCCCGAGGAUUCUUACGGUAAGUAUUUUAGGUGACGGAACACAUGUCUCAGUCUUUGAGUAAAGCAUACGCUCAAAAUCACAAUUUUUAAAGAUAUUCCACAUAUUUUUCAUUAUUUCACCAAUAAAAUAGUAUCAAUACAUCACUACUGUCAGCACUAUUGUGGUUGGAGAGAGAAAUUUCAUUAUUUUAUCAAGUCCAAGUCCAAGUCCAAGUCCAAGUCCAAGUCCACUCCUGCUGAGUUGUAAACAAAUACAUAGUGGCUCAAGACCAAACCCCACAGUUUCCAAAUCAAAACACUUUGGCUUUGAAAUAUGUUAAAUCAACAAUUUUUUUCCAUGCAAAAUAGUUACUGUGGUUUUGUGGAGGUUGUUGGUGCAUGAGUUAUGGAUAUUUUUUUAACGACCUAGUUUCUUUGAAGUUGGAAUUUGGAUUGCACAAGUGCAAUUCAAGUUUUUUGAGUUCACUUUUGGACCCUGUUUGAUCAUUUAAAAUAUUUAUAUUGUAGACUCUGAUGCCAAGAUCAGUAUUAAAAAAAGACCACGUUGAUCGAAUAAAUUUAGAAUCCGUUCAUUAAUAUCCCGGAUUCGAAACUUCUUAGGUGUUACUAAUUCUUAAUUUGGGUUCAAACCCACCGUUAAUGGACAGGAGAUUAAUUUUCUAGAUUAGUGGGUCUUGAAUCAAAUACCGAGUUAUCAAAAAUACUAUAUUGUGGAAACUAUUAGUACAAUUAAUUUGUUAGGAAUGUAAGAGAUAGGAGCUUUUAGUCCCUGCUCUUUUUGGCCUACUAUCCCUUUCCUUGCAAAACAUAUGUAGUGUAUCCCAUCUUUAAAAUUUUAGAACUCAGUAAUUUUCUUGUAAGUUGUAACUCAUUAGUAUCCACAAGAAAUAUCAAAAAUAGUCACCUCUCCGCCGUAAAAACUCUUUGCCACGGAAGGACUAGGUUGGCAAUUGGUGGGGUUGCAAUAACUUUUUGCGUUGACAUCAGACCAUGGCAAACACUGUUGCUACACUUUUUCAACUAAUAAUCCCAAGGCAAAAAAUAACAGUAUAAAUUGUUACUCUAAAACAUUAAUCCCUCAUGGCUUAUAAAUUUUCAACAUGGUCUAGUCAAAUCCAUAUUACUAUUAAAACGAAAGAUGUUUGUCGACUUUUCAAUUCCCAAAAUGCCCUUGGUUCAAUAAAAAAAGGAAUAUUGAAGUUGUGAUUUUGUUUUUGAGGAAAAAAAAAAACUUACUCUCACUUAGACACGUAAAACCAAGCCUUUUAUUUUACUCCUCCAGAAUUCAUUCUAUUCAUUCCAGCCAUAACAGACAACGCUUCGGUAAUCCUAUCAACUCCAUUGUGUCUUCUUCAAUUGCCCAAUAGCUUCUUCUUCACUCUUAUCUUCGAAAGAAACUUUCCCUUGAUUGUUUAUGCUAUCUAACCUAAAUCAUUCAGAGAGCAGGAGAGGUGGAAAUAAUAGCAGCUUUCUAAAUGAACCCUAUUAUUUAGGAGAUGUCUUUCUACUUGGGAAGUGGAGCAAACAUAGUCUACUUCAAAUGAAAAUUGAGGAGUGGAUUCCGGUUACGGAUAAGAAUGAUUCUCUCAAAUUGAAAUGUUAAAGGAUGCAUAUAAUCAUAAUAUUAAGUCUGCCUUGGUGUCAAAUUGUGAUAUUUAGUAAGUUAAAAAGAGGAUAUUCUUAUUCAAGGGAGGAAUAAUGAUGGGGAUGUCUUUUCAUCUCUAGAUCAGAAGAAUAUACAACACAUUUACAUCUAUAUUAUGAAUCUCCUCUCUAUCCCAACUUUAAAAUCUUCCAGAUAUAUUAAGAAAGCAUCCCUAAUAAACUUGGCAUGGUCCAAAACGUGUAGCAUUAAACCUUAUCAUGUCCCUCUCUUCAUCUUUAAAAUCUUCAAGAUAUUUCAAAAAAACAUCCCUAAUGAACUUGACAGCGGUCCCAAGUCGUGUAGCAUUAAAUCCAUUGUUUGUCCCUCACUACAAUCUUUAAAAUCUUCAAGAUAUUUCAAGGAAACAUCCCUAAUAAACUUGACAAUGAUCCAAAGUUGUGUAGCAUUCUCUCCCAUCUUUAAAAUCGUCAAGAUAUUUUAUAGAAACAUCCCUAAUAAACUUGAUUGUGAUUCAAAGUAGCGUGUUAUGUCCCUCUCUUUUAAAGUAUAAUUUAUUAUUUAUUUUAUUAAUUAAUUCCAGAUAUCAAGUCAACACAUGGUAGGCUUUUAAAAUUACAUUUUGUGGCUGAAGAUGGUACCUGUCAUUCAAAAUAUUGACCCUUGCCGAGGUUGGUGAAUUGACUGCAAGCGGAGGACAAUUACACACAUUGUCUUGGCCUUGGAUAUUUCUCAUCUAAACUAAAAAUUUGGACUGUAAAUGGUGGCAGUUGACAAAAUGGGCCCAUCAAUGGAUGAGUACUAACAAAAGAAUUUAUUAAAAACCGAAAGAUCUCUUAAAAAAGCCAAAAUUUGGAGACUUGUUAGACAUAUAAUUUGGGGCCAAUUUUGAACAAAAACAAAUGAGGAAUUCAUACGUCUUUUUAACCGGAUCCAAAUUCGAAUAUGCUAUCUAUGUGAGAUGAUUAACAUCCGAUAUUUUUUUUAUUCAAAACGAAUAAAGAGUGAAUGAAAAAUUGACACCAAAAUUCACUAGUUGAAUAUUAGGUGAAGAAUGGUUAAAAAAUUGUUCCGCAUUGGUCAUUUAUGAGACCUUUAGUGGGUUUACAGGCUUCUCCUUGAACUUGGGCUUGGACUAAGGGGCACCACGGUUCUCUGGAGGAGGGAGGACCUAGCACCUUAUGUGUUGACCUUUUCAAAAGUUUUUAUUUUUCAGCACCUUAUUAUUUUUUAUAUAUGAUUUUAAAGCGGUUCAAAAGUUUCUUAUAGUUGUGGUAAUUGGGUCCUUUCAUUACGUAGUUUCGGCCAUAUGCUACGUAUAUGGGCAGUCAAAUGAGCAAAAACUUUCAUUAACAAAUUAAACGAUUGCUCUGAAGAGUUACAAAGGAGAAUGUGUGAAGAACUUUCUCUCCAAAGCCCCACCAAAAUCAAAUAUAAAUUUUCUCCAAACCUUAACUAGAAUCAAACCAAAAACUUUGUCAAACAAAAGGAUUAAAGAUUCACCAAAGUCCUCAAUUGUGGCACCAAAGGAACUACAAAGUUCGUCCAAAUACUAAGGGUCAACCCAGUCCCCUAUAGGGGGCUUCAAAGGAACUAUGAAGUUUAACAAUAUGAGAGUCUUUCCAAAUUUAUAACUAUGGAAUCCCUCAUAAAAAGAUAGUGUAUGGAAAUCUAUUACUUUCUUGUAGUGAUUUCUUUUAUUUUACUUUUUGAUUUAUUUCUAAAAUAUGCAGGGUUCCAUUUUAAGAGUUCGCUUAGGAAAGCUUAGGGCCGGCCCCUGAUUAGAUUCAUGUAUAAGUCAGUAAAUAAAGAGAUUUCAUGCACUGUUGAUUCACUGUGAAAACAAAUUGAAGUAUUUUAUUUGUUCAGCGUACAAUCACUGUAUUUCAAGAGACAGACAUCUAAAACAGUAAACACAGUGAUGAAGGAAAAUUCUGCAUUCAAGGACAUAGUGUUAAACACGAGCCUUGAUUAUUCUCCUUCGAAUUGCUCAUUGCAGAUUCUACAAUUUUUUUAUACAAAGCAUAUCUUCUUCUGCAAUCAGUCUUUUGUGUUCAAACCACAGGAUCUGUUUCUGAUUUUGUCUCUAAAAGUAAUUGUUGUUUCCAAAACAGUUUU